rnacentral:lncRNA from 1 species
GGGAGAGUGCUUCAGUCGCGAUCCUGCAGGAGGGAGAAAAGUUGGCGGUGCCAGAGAUCGAGAGUGGUGCACUGGAUUCCAUGCAUGCGACAGAUGCCACAGUGGACGACACACAGCGAGCACCUCCUGCCAGUGAGGACAUUCACGACAACGUGGAAGAGGAGCAAAGCAAAGUCGAGGUGCAGCAUGAAGUUUCCGAACGCGAGGUCGAGCUUGCUGUCCCAGUAGAAGAACUCCCACAGUCGGGGAACGAAGAAGUCCAGGAGCCACAGCCUGUGCUUGAGGCCGUUCCCGAGACAGAGGCCGUGCCUGAGGCUUCUGAAGAGGAUGCCAAAGAGGUGCAACCAGCCGAGCCAGUUGUAGCUCAAGUACCAACCGCGAAAGUGGAUGACGUCUUACCCGCACACGAGGAAAUCAAGGAGGAAGAGAGCAUAGAGCAGGCCAAGGUGGCUGUGGAUGACCAGGUGGAGAAUUUCAAGCCCAGGGAGAGUGCUUCAGUCGCGAUCCUGCAGGAGGGAGAAAAGUUGGCGGUGCCAGAGAUCGAGAGUGCUGCUCCAGAUUCCAUCCAUGUGACAGAUGCCACAGUGGACGACACACAGCGAGCAUCUCCUGCCAGUGAGGACAUUCACGACAACGUGGAAGAGGAGCAAACCAAAGUCGAGGUGCAGCAUGAAGUUUCCGAACGCAAGGUCGAGCUUGCCGUCCCAGUAGAAGAACUCCCACAGUCAGGGAACGAAGAAGUCCAGCAGCCACAGCCUGUGCUUGAGGCCGUUCCCGAGACAGAGGCCGUGCCUGAGGCUUCUGAAGAGGCUGCCAAAGAGGUGCAACCAGCCGAGCCAGUUGUAGCUCAAGUACCAACUGCGAAAGUGGAUGACGUCUUACCCGCACACGAGGAAAUCAAGGAGGAAGAGAGCAUAGAGCCGGCCAAGGUGGCUGUGGAUGACCAGGUGGAGAAUGUCGAGCCCAGGGAGAGUGCUUCAGUCGCGAUCCUGCAGGAGGGAGAAAAGUUGGCAGUGCCAGAGAUCGAGAGUGGUGCACCGGAUUCCAUGCAUGCGACAGAUGCCACAGUGGACGACACACAGCGAGCACCUCCUGCCAGUGAGGACAUUCACGACAACGUGGAAGAGGAGCAAAGCAAAGUCGAGGUGCAGCAUGAAGUUUCCGAACGCGAGGUCGAGCUUGCUGUCCCAGUAGAAGAACUCCCACAGUCGGGGAACGAAGAAGUCCAGGAGCCACAGCCUGUGCUUGAGGCCGUUCCCGAGACAGAGGCCGUGCCUGAGGCUUCUGAAGAGGAUGCCAAAGAGGUGCAACCAGCCGAGCCAGUUGUAGCUCAAGUACCAACCGCGAAAGUGGAUGACGUCUUACCCGCACACGAGGAAAUCAAGGAGGAAGAGAGCAUAGAGCAGGCCAAGGUGGCUGUGGAUGACCAGGUGGAGAAUUUCAAGCCCAGGGAGAGUGCUUCAGUCGCGAUCCUGCAGGAGGGAGAAAAGUUGGCGGUGCCAGAGAUCGAGAGUGCUGCUCCAGAUUCCAUCCAUGUGACAGAUGCCACAGUGGACGACACACAGCGAGCAUCUCCUGCCAGUGAGGACAUUCACGACAACGUGGAAGAGGAGCAAACCAAAGUCGAGGUGCAGCAUGAAGUUUCCGAACGCAAGGUCGAGCUUGCCGUCCCAGUAGAAGAACUCCCACAGUCAGGGAACGAAGAAGUCCAGCAGCCACAGCCUGUGCUUGAGGCCGUUCCCGAGACAGAGGCCGUGCCUGAGGCUGCUGAAGAGGCUGUCAAGGAGGUGGAACCGGCCGAGCCAGUCGUAGCUCAAGUACCAACCGCGAAAGUGGAUGACGUUUUACCCACACACGAGGAAAUCAAGGAGGAAGAGAGCAUAGAGCCGGCCAAGGUGGCUGUGGAUGACCAGGUGGAGAAUGUCGAGCCCAGGGAGAGUGCUUCAGUCGCGAUCCUGCAGGAGGGAGAAAAGUUGGCAGUGCCAGAGAUCGAGAGUGGUGCACCGGAUUCCAUGCAUGCGACAGAUGCCACAGUGGACGACACACAGCGAGCACCUCCUGCCAGUGAGGACAUUCACGACAACGUGGAAGAGGAGCAAAGCAAAGUCGAGGUGCAGCAUGAAGUUUCCGAACGCGAGGUCGAGCUUGCUGUCCCAGUAGAAGAACUCCCACAG